ACCACGUACUUGAAAAAAUGGCCAGUAUUGGCAAAAAGUGGCUGGGGCACAAGAAAAUAUGAAAGGAAAUUUCAUUAAGCUGACAGCAGCCAACGAGCCAAGUUGCUGAAAAGUUAAUCUAGCAAACUUUUUGGACAGCCAAAUUUUUCAGUUGCCAGCAUGUGUGUGUGUGUGCGUGUUGUGCCCCAAAGAUGUCCAUUCACAGAUGAUCUGCUCGAAUGGAGGCCAACUUUAUGUGUCUUAGAAAAUAUUAUGAAGAUAUUUACCAAAUUCACUGGCUGGCAAGGAUGUGCUCCAUCAAUUUGUUACUCGCUCUCUCAAUAGACCAGCUCAUGUGCUGCUGACACAUUCAAUUGAUUAAGCCAAGCCACAACGCCGCCGAGGAAACUUUUCGGCCAGAUCCUGGCUGGAUCCUGGCAAAAAGAAGAAGGAGCGGAAGCUCAUUGCAAGGCAAAGUUAAUUUCGAAUCGUUUAUCAAACAGCGUGGAGCUGCAAACUUGAAGUGCAUGUGCUGGCAGGCUGCCAUAUUCGAGAGUACCUGACUCUAGAAUUUGACUAGAAAAAAACUAUAACCUUGUGUGGAAAAUACUGCGCAUAUACGAACUUGUGGGCGAAGGUGCUUCCAGUUUCAGCUUCAGCUAUUUGUCAAAUUUGACUCGACUUUGGCUGCACUGGGCCUGGUGUGCAAAUUGAUGAAAUGAGUUGUGAAAAUUCACAGAGCACCUACUUAUAUACCAUAUGCACAUGGCCAAGUUAAUGGAAUCAAUGCGGCAGGUAUGCAAGUAAACGGAAUGGAAAAUAAACCAAUGCUAUGCAAACAAAUGGUUUGAAUGAAAAGAAAAAACUUCUUAAAAGCCGAGAAAAAAAUCAGCAUUCCGUUUGCCUACUAUGGCCAAAGAUUUUGAAAUGAUGAAGUGGCAGUUGCCAAAGAAACUAUUUUGGCUGAUUCCCAUGGCAGCCAGUCAAUCAUGGAGUCACUUAACACGCUCCAUAUCCUGGUACUCGAUGCUGGGGAGCGAACGGCUUCCAUAUAGUACAUAUGAAUUAUCCUUGACACGUAUAAUUCGCAGCCACUAGCUGCUGAGGUGUAAUCGUUUGCCGCUCGAACGGAGUGCCAAAUGAGGCGACACACCGAUGCACUGCAAGAAAAUUGGUGCGCUAUCGGAAGUAAGAAACUUGUGAAAUUCUCUUAUAAAUACGAAUAAGACUUACGGAGUACGAAAAGGAACAUUGUCAGCUGUGCACGGUAACCCUGGAGCUAGGCGAACAUAGCAAAGAGUCCUUAGUUCGCCAGGACAACACAUAGCAGGCCAAUUCCGCGCACUCAUGCUGCUGCUGUGGCUUU